UACUGUCAUUGUCCAUAGAGUAAGUAUAUAUAGAGGAGAAACUGAGGUACUAAACUCUGAAACAGUAAUUUAGUUCCACCAACACCUUCCAGAGACCGCUCGCAUCGCUGAUUUUCUGUUUACCUCGAGAAUUAUUUACUUAACCUCAAAAAUUUUCAGUUGAUCCGUCGAACCUUAUUUUUGGUAAGAGAUUUAUUAUGUCGCAGUCAACUUUGAAAUCCAACAAAUAUUGUGUUCCUAACUGUGGAGAUAUGUAUAGUAAACGUCAUCGUUUUCGAAUGAAGAGAAGCAGCCAACAAUUUUCAAACUUUGGCUCGAAAAAGUUAGUUAUCAAUUGCUCAACUCUAAAACUCCUCAACAAAUUUGUAAGAAGUGAAAUUAGAUAGCCUUAAAGGAAUUUGGCAACUGCUAUCCCUGAAUUAUUUCUUCCUGGAUCUUCAAAUCAAGGGGAAGAUGGAGAAGUUCAUGACACUGAAGGAAAACAUCUCCAAAGUGAUGUUGAGAGGGAAGUAUCAACAGAGACUUUGAAGAAUUUUAAGCACCCUCAGAAAACUUCAAUAAUAUAUAGAAAAAGAUAUCGAGGACAACAAUUAAUUGACACUAGAGGCUGUGGGCACUGCAGAGCUGAUCAUUUUUAUGGAUAAGCUGUUUGAUAGCCUGAAUAUGCAAUUGUGAAGGACACAUUAAAAAUUUGGCAUACUAGAAAUAUUUAAAAAAAUGUAAAAUUUUAAAUAGAUGAUUUUUUUAUAUGAA